CUAAACCGGAUUGUAAACUGUAUAAGUGUUUUCCAGGCAAGCCGGACCGAUAAGUCCUUUGGAACAGGGCAUCAUANAGGGUGAGAAUCCCGUCUUCGGUCUGAGCAUUUGCCUUUUGCCAUACACUUUCAAAGAGUCAGGUUGUUUGGGAAUGCAGCCUAAAUUGGGUGGUAAAUCUCACCUAAAGCUAAAUAUUGGCGAGAAACCGAUAGCGAACAAUUACCGUGAGGGAAAGAUGAAAAGAACUUUGAAAAGAGAGUUAAACAGUAUGUGAAAUUGUUAAAAGGGAACCGUUUGGAGCCAGACUGGCUUGUCUGUAAUCAGUCUAAGUUUCCGCUUGGAUGCACUUGCAGGCUAUGCCUGCCAACGACAAUUUGGCUUGAGGGAAAAAACUAGGGGAAAUGUGGCCCAUUCGUGGGUGUUAUAGUCCCUUAGAAAAUACCUUGGGCUGGAUUGAGGUACGCANCGAAUGCUAUUUGGCGAGUUGGCUGGGAAUAUUUUCUGAGGUGCUCUGGUACUGAGGUUGAUAUUUCCAGUUACACUUCUAUUC
rnacentral:rRNA from 1 species